rnacentral:RNase_MRP_RNA from 1 species
CGCCACGAUCCGCUUCGAAGGACACACACGGACAGGUUGCUUUUGCAGUCCUGUCAAGACACACAUUUCCUUUGGGGAAAGUCUCCGGACACUAGGGCAGAGAGUGCCAGCCCUAAGGGCCAGACCCUGCACGUGCCGAACCGCUGGCAAAGACGCCCUCUGGGCGGAGCUCGUGAAGGGGAGG